UACGUAGGGGGCUAGCGUUGUCCGGAAUCAUUGGGCGUAAAGAGCGCGCAGGCGGUCGAGUAAGUCGAAUGUGAAAGCCCCCGGCUUAACUGGGGAGGGUCAUUCGAUACUGUUCGACUUGAAGGCAGGAGAGGGUAGUGGAAUUCCCGGUGUAGUGGUGAAAUGCGUAGAUAUCGGGAGGAACACCAGUGGCGAAGGCGACUACCUGGCCUGUUCUUGACGCUGAGGCGCGAAAGCUAGGGGAGCAAACGGGG
rnacentral:rRNA from 1 species